GGCGGCAUGCUACACUUGCAAGUCGAACGGCAGCGGGGAGAAGCUUGCUUCUCCUGCCGGCGAGUGGCGAACGGGUGAGUAAUACAUCGGAACGUGCCUGGUAGUGGGGGAUAACUAGUCGAAAGAUUAGCUAAUACCGCAUACGACUGAGGGUGAAAGUGGGGGACCGCAAGGCCUCAUGCUAUAGGAGCGGCCGAUGUCUGAUAGCUAGUUGGUGAGGUAAAGGCUCACCAAGGCGACGAUCAGUAGCUGGUCUGAGAGGACGAUCAGCCACACUGGGACUGAGACACGGCCCAGACUCCUACGGGAGGCAGCAGUGGGGAAUUUUGGACAAUGGGCGAAAGCCUGAUCCAGCAAUGCCGCGUGUGUGAAGAAGGCCUUCGGGUUGUAAAGCACUUUUGUCCGGAAAGAAAUCGCACUUACUAAUACUAGGUGUGGAUGACGGUACCGGAAGAAUAAGGACCGGCUAACUACGUGCCAGCAGCCGCGGUAAUACGUAGGGUCCGAGCGUUAAUCGGAAUUACUGGGCGUAAAGCGUGCGCAGGCGGUUGUGCAAGACCGAUGUGAAAUCCCCGGGCUUAACCUGGGAAUUGCAUUGGUGACUGCACGGCUAGAGUGUGUCAGAGGGGGGUAGAAUUCCACGUGUAGCAGUGAAAUGCGUAGAGAUGUGGAGGAAUACCGAUGGCGAAGGCAGCCCCCUGGGAUAACACUGACGCUCAUGCACGAAAGCGUGGGGAGCAAACAGGAUUAGAUACCCUGGUAGUCCACGCCCUAAACGAUGUCAACUAGUUGUUGGGGAUUCAUUUCCUUAGUAACGUAGCUAACGCGUGAAGUUGACCGCCUGGGGAGUACGGUCGCAAGAUUAAAACUCAAAGGAAUUGACGGGGACCCGCACAAGCGGUGGAUGAUGUGGAUUAAUUCGAUGCAACGCGAAAAACCUUACCUACCCUUGACAUGCCACUAACGAAGCAGAGAUGCAUUAGGUGCUCGAAAGAGAAAGU
rnacentral:rRNA from 1 species